rnacentral:rRNA from 1 species
GAUGAACGCUGGCGGCGUGCUUAACACAUGCAAGUCGAACGGAAAGGCCCUGCUUUUGUGGGGUGCUCGAGUGGCGAACGGGUGAGUAACAUGUGAGUAACCUGCCCUUGACUUUGGGAUAACUUCAGGAAACUGGGGAUAAUACCGGAUAGGAGCUCCUGCUGCAUGGUGGGGGUUGGAAAGUUUCGGCGGUUGGGGAUGGACUCGCGGCUUAUCAGCUUGUUGGUGGGGUAGUGGCUUACCAAGGCUUCGACGGGUAGCCGGCCUGAGAGGGGGACCGGCCACACUGGGACUGAGAGACGGCCCAGACUCCUACGGGAGGCAGCAGUGGGGAAUAUUGCACAAUGGGCGGAAGCCUGAUGCAGCGACGCCGCGUGCGGGAUGACGGCCUUCGGGUUGUAAACCGCUUUCACCUGUGACGAAGCGUGAGUGACGGUAAUGGGUGAAGAAGCACCGGCUAACUACGUG